rnacentral:lncRNA from 10 species
GGCCACUGAGGCCUCCCCGUUCGCCUCCCAGAGGCCGCCACUUUCUUCAGGGCUAUCAGAUGAAGGCAGCAACGAAAACACCACCACAAGACCAACUUCAGGCUGGAGCUGAUGAUGCCACACAGAAAAUAGACUCUACUUAGAAAUGAAACUCAACUAAAGGUAAAAGUUGUCAGGAACAUCUCCAAGAAAGCCAGAGUCAGCCUCUAAACUUUGCAUCAAGAACGCAAUGGCUUCCCUGAGGGCCCAGGGACGCGUGGCAGCUGUGAGGCAGCCCCUUCUCUGCUGUCGAGGAACUGGACACUUCUCCUGUCCCUUCCCACAAGGGGCUUCCUGGAGCUCCUGCAACCCCAGGCAUUAGUUCCGGUGCAGUUCUAGGAUCAGAUCAAUUCACUCGACAACAAGAGAAACAAAUGGAGAUUCCUACACAAAGACUUUCAAGCACAAAGAAAUCCUGCUGCCUGUAAAGCGGAGCUGCCUCAGCCCUUGAUGAACGACAGAAAAUACCACCUACUGCCAGACCUCAACGCCUCACAAAACUCUCACCCACCUACUGCUUUUAGCUCACAUUCCAGGAAUUCAGAUGAAGUGAAGUGCUCUCAUGGGGACCAGGCAUGGUUAUGCCAGUCCACUGCCCUGCAAGCCUCAAGGGAAGCCAACUGCCCUUCAGCAAGUCACACCUGCCUUGGUGGAGGCCUUGAUUGGAAGUGCCACACGCUACAUGUCCAGUCCUGAGCGGGAGAAUCGGUGUAGGGACGUUCUGGGGAUGCCAGCUGUGGCCAGAUCAGGUCCAACUACAGAAGAAUAAUGAAGACUCCACCUGAGGGCUGGAAAAACAAAACCUCAAGUGUGAGGCAGCCAACCUGUUACCUCGAGGGACUGUUCCGCAGCACAGCGGGGCCAUGGGAACAGCAGCAGACACCCCGACCUCCUCGCUACCUGUGUGUGUAUUAACACGCCGGCCUCCUCGCUACCUGUGUGUGUAUUAACACGCCGGCCUCCUCGCUCCCUGUGUGUGUAUUAACACCCCGGCCUCCUCGCUCCCUGUGUGUGUAUUAACACGCCGGCCUCCUCGCUACC